rnacentral:rRNA from 1 species
GGAUAGCCCUGAGAAAUUGGGAAUAAUACCUCAUAACAUUAUAAUGCAGCAUUGUAUAAUAAUUAAAGUUCCGGCGGUUAAAGAUGGGCAUGCGUAACAUUAGCUAGAUGGUAAGGUAACGGCUUACCAUGGCAACGAUGUUUAGGGGUUCUGAGAGGAUUAUCCCCCACACUGGUACUGAGACACGGACCAGACUCCUACGGGAGGCAGCAGUGAGGANUAUUGGNCAAUGGACGCAANUCUGACCCANCCCAUGCCCGNUGCAGGAANACGGCCCUAUGGGUUGUNAACUGCUUUUUUUUNCCNAAGAAACCCCAGACGUGCUUUGUCUGACGGUANUUUAUGAANNAAGGGAUCGG